GGUUACUGUCGUUUUUUUUUUUCCCAAAACCCCCUUGAGGGGGAUUUUAAACUCAUAAGAACCCCAACCCUUGACAUAAGGAGGGGGCAAUGUAAUAACCAUGUUCUGUAGUGGCUCUAUGGCUGCGCACCAGCCCACUAUAAAGAGACUAAAUGAAUGGAGGAAGAGGAAGUGCGAUGAUGGAUGGUUGUUGAUAUCCGCCUUGCUUUGUGAUGUAUUUUAUUAAAUCUGUAUUGUCAUUGUUCCCUUGGCAUUAAGUUGCCUCCUUUAAAGACAAAAGCAUGACUGUUAAAAUAGAAAAGUUAAAUAUGGCAACAGUUUUAUUUUAAUGUCAAGGUAAUACCCAUGUAGGUGUGGCCAAUCCUAAGUCUGGACAUCGUCGUGCUUCCACGCCUUGUCAGACCCUUAGAUGUGGGCCACCACCUGACAUCCGCCCCAGCUGAUCCCUGCCUCUACACACAGUUGGACUCAUUUCGCCAGCCCACCAGCAGACAGCUACAGCUACAGCACCAGCCAUAGCAGCAGCACCUGACUCUGAAGAUAAGCACAGGGCCUAAUGAUACUCAGACCACUUGGCUUUAACAUCUUAUGAUGAUAAAUGUCCAUACCAGCUCAUAUUCAUUUGUCAACCCUCUGUAAAAUACUAACCCAGUUGAAUUUUGUACAAUAAAACUUUGUAAAUAACUAUA